CAUUUUCCACUGAUUGACGGAUUCCUGGCUGGUGACACUUCUAGAGUACGUGUAUUCCUUGAGACAAGUAGCUUUAGUUCAUAUCGUGCUUCAUUUCGUCUUUUGUCCGAUUUAAAGGCGAUGUGAGAAAGUGGCUAUAAGAUAUUAGUGAAGCCAUCCCUUGCACGGUUGCCAAGUUUUUACUUUGCAUGUCAUGUGUCAAA